GAACGGGUGAGUAUGCUUCGGUAAUCUGCCCAAUGGUGGGGAAAUAACCGAGCCGAAAGGUUGGCUAAUACCGCAUACGUCCUACGGGAGAAAGCAGGGGUAUCGUAAGACCUUGCGCCGAAUGGAUGAGCCGAAGCUCGGAUUAGCUAGUUUGGUAGGGUAACGUGGCUACCAAGGGGACAGUCCGUAGCUGGUCUGAUGAGGACACCAGCCAACUGGGCACUGUGCACACGGUACAAACUCCUAAACGGGGGCAGCAGUGGGGAAUAUUGGACAAUGGGGGCAACCCUGAUCCAGCGACGCCGCGUGUGUGAGAAGGCCUGCGGGUUGUAAGCACUUGUAGUGGGGAAUGAAAAGCCUAGAGCUAAUGACCUCUGGGUCUUGACCUAACCCACAGAAAAGCACCGGUUAACUCUG
rnacentral:rRNA from 1 species